GUAUGAUAGCGCCACCUGCUGUUGGCACACGUGCAGUGUGUGUGAAAUGAGAAAUGGUGGCGUUGCUAAGAGGAUUAAAGCUGGACGCUGAGUGGCUACUCAUUUUACUAUGAGCCAAUGAAAUUAGCCGUUGUAUUGAGGUGCAAAGCGUCUGGAUACGAGUCGGGUAGUUGGCUUCUGUAAAGACGUCUUGACUCUUAUUCAAUAUGAAAAAGAAGAUUUUGAAUACAAAAAAAUGGUCUUAUUAGCUACUUAGUUAGCUACUCUUUAUUAUAGUUCCUUAAAAACAACAAACAUCAACAACGUCUUCCUCCAACCAAAUCAACCAUCAAUCCGACAUCAGGACAGGAUGUCAACAUUUAGCUUCAGGAGAAGUGGAAAGAAAGCCUUUGUCUGCCUUGGCAGCCGCCAUCUUGUCGUCGUCGUUGACCGGCCGGACCAUCGCCCUCCCUCCUGCACGCCCCAGAUCCUUCUCCGAGAGUGACUACUCACGCUCAGAGACACACACCACGUUCGAGCCUUACGCCAGCACAGCGCUCUACACUAGAGACGGAGAGCCAGAAUCUUUGGCUGGCCGGCCUCGCUUGCCCUCUCCUGGGCUCUCUGAAGACCAUGAUGAUGAAGAGGAGGAGGAGGACUUAGAGAGAUCGGUUCUGUCAGAUGAAGAUGGUCAUCUCU